UACGGGGGGGGUAAGCGUUGUUCGGAAUUACUGGGCGUAAAGGGCUCGUAGGCGGCCAACUAAGUCAUACGUGAAAUCCCUCAGCUUAACUGGGGAACUGCGUGUGAUACUGGAUGGCUUGGAUUUGGGAGAGGGAUGCGGAAUUCCAGGUGUAGCGGUGAAAUGCGUAGAUAUUCGGAGGAACACCAGUGGCGAAGGCGGCUCACUGGUCCGGUACUGACGCUGAGGUGCGAAAGCGUGGGGAGCAAACAGG
rnacentral:rRNA from 1 species